ensembl:lncRNA
AGUCUGCCAUGGCAAUGGCAUGAGUAGGGAGAAGGGAAAUGAGGGUCUAGCUUUUUUGUUCUAGGCUUACUGGGCAAAGAAAAAAAGUAACAAGACUGGGUGACUAUGGAUAUUUAAACCAGAGUCCCACGAGGGCUCUGUAUGUGCACGAGGUGAUCCUGGUGAAAUUUUGGCAGCAUAUGUGCCUCUGUGAUAGAAGUUUGAAGCUGUCUUGUGAUGCAGGGCUCUUGUGAUUCAGAUAGAGCCAGUUACAGAUGGUUCUCAACAGCCCAAUGCAGGGCACAACCAAUCCUCUGAGCAGGGCUGCUAAGAUUACGGGAUGGCAGAAGGUGCUGAAAUGCAAAGUGGAUACCUUAAGCCUUCUUUGUAAAUUGAGCUCUCUGAGACUACUCUAACGUCUGGACCGGAAAACUGCAGAAAGAGAAACUGCAGUGAAUCAAGGAGGAAAAGGAGGGAGAAAUAUCACUGAUUAAAUUAGCUUUCUUAGAUUAACAAACACCACACUUGCCUCUGUAUUGACUCCUGAGGUCAGUAUACAGAACAUCAUCUCUACUAAGCAGAGCUGAACACAAAAAUAACAUACUCUGAUCACCAGUUCAUUGGAAGAACAAUGAGGAGGAAUAGAGGUUUUCCUCUAUGCAUCUGAAAAAGAGAAGAAGCGAACGUGCUGCAAGGGAAAACAGGCCUCUUGGUCAAGGAGCAGUAUACCAGGAGAUGACUGUACAAAUGUUUCAGAAUCCACUAUCCAAAAAAAGUACAGUAGGAAGCAAUACUAUAAGCCACAUUGUUGCAUUUCUCCACCAUAAAGGAACAUAAAUAUGCCCCCAAAUGAAGAAUAAGAUUCUGGAAAAAAAGAUCCACCCAGAGUCCGCAUUUUUAAAGAAAAAAGUGUGCAUCAUCUUCCAGCCCCUGUGAGUCGAAGAAAAAGGUACAUGAGCAAAAAAGAGCCAUGCAAGAUAUCUGCUGCUGCCUACAGGUUAUCUAAAUGAACGCUUCCACAAAGUAUGACUGUCACUGUCCCCCAUGUCUAAAUCUUUUAAAACAAAUAAGAUCUAAGUUACAUAAGUAAAUGAUCAGAUGUCACUAAGUAAUGCUAUAUUUUUUUAGAUUGACUUUUUGUCUUUGAGAGUAAAACAUAGAAGCAUUAUAUGCACCUCCAGAUGUUGCAGUGCUGGAGAGAGGAUAUUCAUUUAUUUAUCAAACAUAAUCUGUGAGAAUAUGUGUUUUAAGUUCUCAAAUGUAUAACAUUUUCUGAAUCCAUGUUUUUCAUAGCAUUCACUGUAAUAAUUAGCUAAGAAAUAUUUGAAAAGUAAUUUUUUUCACCUCUCAAUAAACAGAAGAUAUUCACAGAGUGUUUUCUUCAAGAUGGACUGACAAAAAUAAGAAUUUUUCAUGUUCUAAUUAUUUAGUUGUUGAUGAAUGGCAUAUUCAUGGAAAUUUCCUUACUGACUGUGGUAUCAGAUCUACAGAUCUUGAUCCAGGAACUCAUUCAAAUACUUCUACUAAUCUAGUUUUCCAAUGAGAAAUACCUUUACUGGUUAUAUUUAAACUUUGGGAAAAGAAGGUUACAAUCAAGGAAGGGAAUAACUAUCAUGUUAUCAUGUUUCUAAUUUAACAGAAAUAAUGUUUGGUUGUGUAGGGAGAACUGUACUAGAGAUGCUAGACUAGCUGCUAAAGAGUGUAUGGGAAAAUGAGGGAAAUCAUAGUUGUUGCUAUCACAAAUUGUCAGUUGUGUGGUGAAUAAACACUAGUUUCAUAUUCAUGUGCGAUGGACUAUGCAGCAGACACUGUCCCUGUGGUAACAAAUGCUAGAAAAAGGUUUUCCAUGUAAGUCCAUUGAAUCACAGUUUCUUGAUUCCAGUCUUCUAACAUAUAUAACACGUGCCACAUCAUUGAGUGCAUCAUUCACUUCUUUCUUUCCAUCCUUCAGAUGUUCAGUACUAUGUACUGAAUGAUAGUUCUCCUGAUGGCCAGCCAUAAUGGGUUUAUAUUACAGUACAUAUUUUAUGUAUUAAAAUCUCUCCUGGAUUAAAAAUGACUAGAAAUUAAACACACAGGAGUAAUCCAGAUGGAAAUUGGAACACAUUUUUGUCAGUACUUUUGAAGAUAUUGAAGAGAAGUUGUGGAGAAAAAGCCUUUAUUUUCACUUCCAUCAUUUCUGCAUCCUAUGUAUAUCCUAUAUAUAUUGGAACCAACUAUCUACAGCUUCUUUGUAUGAGGUCAAUGCUAUUCCUGUAAACAUUAGAUGUUCUGUUGUUAUUUGCAAUUAAUCCAACAACAACUGCUGAAAUUUAGUCACAACUCUCCCGAGCUGAAACAAGUACCUUCCAUAAAGAUGAAAAGGAUUAGACCUAUAUUUUAUAACACAUCCACAUUUUAUGAGGAUGCAGUUGGUGUUAAGCAAUCAUCUAUUUGGUGUUGAAUUAAUUACAAUCUUAAUUAAAAGCUGCUUAAUAU